CCAACGGCUCUUUUAAGAGCCACCCCACAUAUUCCCUGAAAGAGCUG
rfam:Phalacrocorax carbo contig85947, whole genome shotgun sequence.